rnacentral:rRNA from 1 species
UACGGAGGAUGCGAGCGUUAUCCGGAUUUACUGGGUGUAAAGGGCGUGCAGCCGGAGAGGCAAGUCAGAUGUGAAAUCCGCGGGCUCAACCCGCGAACUGCAUUUGAAACUGCUUCCCUUGAGUAUCGGAGAGGUAAUCGGAAUUCCUAGUGUAGCGGUGAAGUGCGUAGAUAUUAGGAAGAACACCAGUGGCGAAGGCGGAUUACUGGACGACAACUGACGGUGAGGCGCGAAAGCGUGGGGAGCAAACAGG